rnacentral:rRNA from 1 species
UUUGGCAGCAAUAGUGUAAUGGUCCCACCUGAAUCCAUACCGAACUCAGAAGUGAAACAUUAUUAACGCCGAUGGUAGUGUGGGGUAUCCCCAUGUGAGAGUAGGGCACUGCCAAAU